rnacentral:lncRNA from 1 species
AGUGGAUUCCCCACCGCAGCGGAUGAAUAUCAAAAAUGUUGUCCGUGAAUUGCAGAAAAUUCUGGAUACACUGCAAAAUAUCCAUGGCUCCAUGUUCUCUCAUCUUCCUAAAUGAAAACAUAUAUAAUUAAAGAAGCCUCUGCCUUUCCUGAGAGGCACUUGUCUUUAUUACAAAACAUUAGUAGUAUUUGUCCGUAUUAUGUAUCAUUAGUUAGUUCAUUACACACCUGACUUGGGUGGUUACUGGUUAGGCAAUCACUGCUUCAUAUGGUAUGUGCAUUUCUAAUAUAUCUUCUACUUCACAUUUGACAUUUUAAUUCAACUCGAUGUAUGAGUUAGAAGCCAUUCAAGUAUCGCAUUUACAUUACUUAAAUGAUUUGACUUGUACCCAAUUUUCAUGAAUAAUCUUGAAACUCACCUCUCUGAACUAACAAGUAACAACAUUCCGACCUUAAUUGUUUACCUUUUCCCUCUACAACUUAUCAAUCGAAUUCCUCAUCCUUUACUAAAAUACAUAGUUAUUUAUCAACAUCAUUGAUGAUAUCAUUCUAGACACAAAACGCUAUAAGUGUAGCUAUUUCUAAUUUCUAUGCUUGGUUGUGCUUUAAAUAUUACAAACAGACAUAUAGAGCAAAAUCACCAUUUCUGUUUCAUACUAUUUGCACAAUUUUGUUAAAGUUUUAAACAUAUAAAAUGACACCAUUUCAUCUGAAUAACAGUAAUUUCUAGCCACCUUAGCCACAACCACAUAUUACAAAGAAGGAUUUCCAAGUAUUAAAGCAUCUUUUAGGUCAAAAUCCGACUAAAUACCCAAAAUCCCAAAUUUAUCAUUUUUAACAUAAGUAGGGUUCUCAUGCUCAUAAUAUGUGUACUCCAACCAAAUUACAUCAUCUUUCAGUAAACAGCAAGAAUUACAUUAAGAUUGGUAGAAUCAUCCAUAGAACAUUAGGGUUUACAUACCUCAGUUUCAUUCGUAUAAACAUCAAACCCACUGAUUCCCUUACGAAAAUGAUUCCCCAUCUUGCUGUCGAUCAAACUCUAACUACCAUCGCUUAAACCUUCUCUUUGCGGUGUUUGAGAUAUAUUUUUACGUUCAAGGACUUUUUUGUAA